rnacentral:rRNA from 1 species
AUUGAACGCUGGCGGCAGGCCUAACACAUGCAAGUCGAGCGGAAGAAGGGAGCUUGCUUCUGGUUUCAGCGGCGGACGGGCGAGUAAUGCCUAGGAAUCUGCCUGGUUGUGUGUGAGAACGUCCGGAAACGGGCGCUAAUACCGCAUAAGUGCUGAGGGAGAAAGGGGGGGAUCUUCGGACCUCACGCUCUCACAUGAGUCUAGGUCGGAUUAGCUAGUUGGUGGGGUAAAGGCCUACCAAGGCGACGAUCCGUAACUGGUCUGAGAGGAUGAUCAGACACACUGGAACUGAGACACGGUCCAGACUCCUACGGGAGGCAGCAGUGGGGAAUAUUGGACAAUGGGCGCAAGCCUGAUCCAGCCAUGCCGCGUGUGUGAAGAAGGCCUUCGGGUUGUAAAGCCCUUUAAGUUGGGAGGAAGGGCAGCAAGUUAAUACCUUGCUGUUUUGACGUUACCCACAGAAUAAGCACCGGCUAACUUCGUG